AUAUGGCGACAGUAUGCCCUGCUGUAUGGUGACGGCCACAGCUCCAACCCAGAAAACGACGACAAGGCACUGCAGUUCCUGUCCAAGGCCCAUCGCUGUGAGGUUCAGGGAGGCGGUUGGGAGAAAGAACCUGCUCUCUUCAAGGAGGUGAUCAAACAAGCUGUCCACAUGGGAGAAGUGGCACUCAGUUGCAGUGU